rfam:Danio rerio chromosome 4, GRCz11 reference primary assembly.
ACUUUGGUGGUUCAGUGGUAGCAUUCUCGCCUGCCACGCGGGAGACCCGGCUCUGAUUCCCGGCCAAUGCA